rnacentral:siRNA from 1 species
AUCAGCUGAAAUCAAAGUCCUA